AUUGAACGCUGGCGGCAUGCCUUACACAUGCAAGUCGAACGGCAGCACGGGUGCUUGCACCUGGUGGCGAGUGGCGAACGGGUGAGUAAUACAUCGGAACAUGUCCUGUAGUGGGGGAUAGCCCGGCGAAAGCCGGAUUAAUACCGCAUACGAUCUACGGAUGAAAGCGGGGGACCUUCGGGCCUCGCGCUAUAGGGUUGGCCGAUGGCUGAUUAGCUAGUUGGUGGGGUAAAGGCCUACCAAGGCGACGAUCAGUAGCUGGUCUGAGAGGACGACCAGCCACAUGGGGACUGAGACACGGCCCAGACUCCUACGGGAGGCAGCAGUGGGGAAUUGUGGACAAUAGGCGAAAGCCUGAUCCAGCAAUGCCGCGUGUGUGAAGAAGGCCUUCGGGUUGUAAAGCACUUUUGUCCGGAAAGAAAUCCUUGGCCCUAAGACGGUCGGGGGAUGACGGUACCGGAAGAAUAAGCACCGGCUAACUACGUG
rnacentral:rRNA from 1 species